GAUCCUGGCUCAGGAUGAACGCUAGCUACAGGCUUAACACAUGCAAGUCGAGGGGCAGCAUGACCUAGCAAUAGGUUGAUGGCGACCGGCGCACGGGUGAGUAACACGUAUCCAACCUACCGGUUAUUCCGGGAUAGCCUUUCGAAGAAAGAUUAAUACCGGAUAGUAUAACGAGAAGGCAUCUUCUUGUUAUUUAAAGAAAUUUCGUAUAACCGAAUGGGGAGUGCGUUCCAUAGUUUGUUUGGCGGGGUAACGGGCCCACCCAAG
rnacentral:rRNA from 1 species